UAUGGUCAUAUCACAUUGAAGUACCAGUUCCUAUAUGAUCACUGAAGUCAAGCAACAUUGAACCUGGUCAGUACUUAGAUGGAUGGCUGCUUAGGAAUAGCAGGUGCUGUAAG